UCUUGUUUCUUUAUAUUAAGUAUUCGUGUGAUGCAAUAGUGUUGCUAGGCUUUUGGCUUGUUAUCUAGUAGACUGUGCAGGCUGAUCAUAUUCUAAUUAUUUAUUUAAUGGAUGCAGGAAUAAAAUUCGGGGGAACUUUACUCAAAGUGAGCUCAAUCGAACUGAAAAGAAGUCCAGGAAAAAAGUGAAAAAAACGGGAAAAACUUUUGUUUUGACUGUUAUACCAAUUAUACCAAAGAGAAAUGAUAAAUGUGUAGAAGAGAUGGAGCAAACGCAAAAUGAUGAAUCGAUUGCAGCAGAUUUGGAAGAGGAUUUGUCUGUUCUGGAUAUACAGUGAGAGCUAAGCUUAAUGACUUGGUUAUAAAUGCUGGAAUUGAAGAUCACCAUGGGCUGUGACUGCGAUGCUUCAAUGAUGAUGAUGAAGAUCGCGGUUUACUUCUUUCUCUGAAAUUUGUAGUUAAUAAGUUUACACUGUUGUUCAUGUACAAAAGUGAAACUCUGAAUUUGUAGUUAACUCGCAUUGUUGUUUAGUUUGUGGCUUUGUGCUCACUUCUUUAUCUGUUGAAGUUAAUUCACGUUGUUAUCCUAUGUUGCUUUAUUAGUUCUUUAAUAAACCGUUUGUUGAUUUA